rnacentral:rRNA from 1 species
UGGCGGAGGCCUAAACAUGCAAGUCGAGCGCCGUAGCAAUACGGAGCGGCAGACGGGAGAGUAACACGUGGGAACGUACCCUUUGGUUCGGAACAACCCAGGGAAACUUGGGCUAAUACCGGAUAAGCCCUUACGGGGAAAGAUUCAUCGCCGAAGGAUCGGCCCGCGUCUGAUUAGCUAGUUGGUGGGGUAAUGGCCCACCAAGGCGACGAUCAGUAGCUGGUCUGAGAGGAUGAUCAGCCUCACUGGGACUGAGACACGGCCCAGACUCCUACGGGAGGCAGCAGUGGGGAAUAUUGGACAAUGGGCGCAAGCCUGAUCCAGCCAUGCCGCGUGGGUGAUGAAGGCCCUAGGGUUGUAAAGCCCUUUCGGCGGGGAAGAUAAUGACGGUACCCGCAGAAGAAGCCCCGGCUAACUUCGUGCCAGCAGCCGCGGUAAUACGAAGGGGGCUAGCGUUGCUCGGAAUCACUGGGCGUAAAGCGCACGUAGGCGGA